rnacentral:lncRNA from 1 species
CAGGCCAGUGAGAGGGAGCCCUCAGACUCUUCCUGCAUCCUCCGCCUCCCACAGGGUUCAGACCCAACCCACGGUCGUGCUGAUGAGGACACAGCCGCUUCUCGGCCCACAUGCCCGUUGGCCGCUGUCCCCACGGACCCUCGUUUUGGACGACACUCACUACUGAGCCAGUCAUCGCCCGCGCAGCCUCUUGGGCAGAUGUGCCAACCCCAGUGCCGAUGAGGUGAGCCCGCGCCCAGUACUCACUCCUCUAAGACGCAGCCUCUGCUCCAGUCGGCCUGCAGCCAGCCCAGGGCUCCCGGACUCAGCUCAAGCCAGGGCCUACGUCCACACUGCUGCUGCCAGAGCCGGUAGUGACAGCCACACUUCCGAACCCAGGCCCAGGCCAUUUGGACUGUCCAUGGUAAGGGCAGGAAAGGGCCUCCUGGGAGAGGGCGCGUGUGUAUCUCAUGGCCUCCAGAGCACUGCCCACUCUCUGCCCUGGCCUCCCGCCCGUCCUCACUCAUGUUUCCACGGCUUCUUCUGGGGCCUCUGGUCUGUGCAGGUGACCGCACACCGCGGCACCGAGGCCAGCUCUCCUCCCCCGCCCACCUCUACCGCCCACCCAUCUGGAUUCCCACUGUGACCUCCGCAGCCCUGACUGGGACCUGGGCUCCCCUGUGACCUUCGAAGGCUAACGCCAUAAGUAACCAAUUGUUUCAUAUCUACUUUGUACCCUGGAAAUAUUUUCUAAGAUAACAAUUAGAAUUUUGUUGUUGUUGUUGUUGUUUGUUUUGUUCUGUUUUGUUUUUUGAUACCAGGGAUGGAACC